UAGUGAGUUUGAUCCUGGCUCAGAGCGAACGCUGGCGGCAGGCUUAACACAUGCAAGUCGAACGCUCGCAGCAAUGCGGGAGUGGCAGACGGGUGAGUAACGCGUGGGAACGUGCCCUUUGGUUCGGAAUAACUCAGGGAAACUUGAGCUAAUACCGGAUAAGCCCCUUACGGGGGAAAGAUUUAUCGCCGAAGGAUCGGCCCGCGUCCGAUUAGCUAGUUGGUGAGGUAAAGGCUCACCAAGGCCACGAUCAGUAGCUGGUCUGAGAGGACGACCAGCCACACUGGAACUGAGACACGGUCCAGACUCCUACGGGAGGCAGCAGUGGGGAAUUUUGGACAAUGGGCGCAAGCCUGAUCCAGCAAUGCCGCGUGAGUGAUGA
rnacentral:rRNA from 2 species